rnacentral:rRNA from 1 species
AAACCGCUUAGGGGUUAAGCCCGAUGAACCUGAAUAUCUGAAAUGAGAAAUUCAAUAUUAUGUUAUUUAUUUAACUAGUAUGCACUUUUCUCAUAGUAAGACAUUGCGAUCCAUUAGUAAUUUGAAUUUAUUAAACGGCCCGUAUGUACAGUUUAUUCUAUCUGUAAUGAUUUUUAAUUAUUAUAUGAGUAAAUACAUUGCGGUGUCCUAAUAAAUAGCUGAUGGAGCUUAAAAAUCAUACAAACAUACAUGUAUGUAUCACAAUUUAAUAAUAAUAUAUUAUUUUAUGUAGUGAUUGUAUGUAUUUGAUUAGCAAUGCGAUAGAUUUGGGAUACCUUCGGGACCCGUCUUGAAACACGGACCAAGAAGUCUAACAUGUGUGCAAGUCAUUGGGUAUUGUUUGUUGAAACCUAAAGGCAUAAUUAAAAUAACUAUUUUUAAUGGGAUUACAAGUGAUUUUUAUAUUAGAUUACUUCUCCAUCCCGGGGCGUUCUAUACGAACAUGAUUAAAGCAAUUUGAUCCUCUGUUCAAGAGCGUACCUUGAGCAUACAUGCUGU